rnacentral:sRNA from 1 species
AAAACGAUAUUAGUUAUCUUUGGGUACUGCAGUAUACAUGUCUACGAAGGGUUUCAGCGGGAUCUUCAUAAACUUUUCAAAGAAAAUCUGACCGCGACUUCCGCUGGUGAGAGCCUUAGAGCUCGAAAAGAGAGGGAAAUGAAAGAGAAUUUGAAACGAGCCGAUGAAGAGAAGACGCAAAGUGACACUCUCAAAAUGGCCGAGAAUUGGAUGAAGAACACGGGAUGCUGGUCUACGUUGAUGAUCUAGAAUCCCAAGAGAACUCCGAUCCUAAGACAUAUUUACGAGUUUUUUCCGAUGAUUGUUGUUUCUUAUUAAUAAAUUUUACUCUAUUUCCAAUUUUAGACAUGAUUGUUUCAUUUUAUUGGUUAAUCUUAGUGGAAUAAUCUUAUGCU